AAUUAUUUUCAUGCCAAACAUUUACUGGACUGAUUUAAAUAUUAAAAUCACUCCUUUCUAAUCCUCUGUUGUACGUUCAAACCUGAGGCCUUAAAUAGAAACACACAAGUAUCUGUUUGAAGGAACUUCUGCAGAGUCCUGGUUCCAGAACAUGAUGAUAGAAUUAUAGACAAACUUUAACAAAAGCUGCCUGAGAGUUUACAGGUUUUUAUGUUGGAUUUCUUCAGUAAUUUAAUGAGCGUUAUCAGCAAAAAUCAAGUGUUCAUUUGAUGAACUUCAUUUCCUAAAACAUCCAGAAUUGGAGCUCAUAUCUUUGACAGCUGUAAAGUUUCUGCUCCUUCAAAGUUCACAACACAAUGAAUGAAUUCCUAAAACACUCUCAAUGCUGGAGAGCGUUUGUGAUGCUGAAGCAGUGAUCAGUUUUUCUGUUUCUUCUCUGGAGAUGCACAAUGAGGGACGUCUGCAGCGACUGAGAAAGAGUCUCACCACAUCCUGACAUGAGGAAAAAGACUUUAUUGAAGACUACAAUGAGAAAAACUAUCAGACAGCAGACGGCUGCAUUCAAGUCUGUAGCUGCUGAAUUCAUGGAUGAAUCAUCUGGCACUAGAGAAGAAGACCAUCAAACAUCCACGUCAGCUGAUGGAGGUCCAAGAGUCUCACCAAACAACCAACCUACAGAGUGAAGACCUCCAAUCUGAUUGGACGGCCUCCUAUUCAGCCACAUUUUAGGCUGUUAGAUUGUUCCAGAUAAGACAAGUACAAGAUUCUUCAGAGCCGUUCUACCACGAGCCUGACAGGAAGAACUCCAACAGCUACUGAAUGUUCCUGUGGUCCCCUCAAGGCUACAGGAGGAGUCCUACGAGGACGAGCCGGUCCACCUGAUGGUGGCCAGUCGCUGCGGUUUAAAGCCAACACCGACUAUGUGGACUUCUACUGGACCACACGGAGGCCUUCAAACCGGACCAACAAGUUCACCGACUCCCCGACUCGUGGGUCUGAGGACGCUGCCGAGCCUCGGCCCAGCCGGCCUCCUGUCUGUGGGUGUUUGAGUGCUGAGAGGUUUGUGGAUGCAUGUGAACGUUCUGUGUUGAAACAGCAGCUUUGGACUCAGUAACGCCGGGAAAAACCAAGAGCUCCUUUAUUUGUCACUUCCACUAAAACUGAUGAAAAUAAGUUUGCCAGGGUUCUGACUGAUGACAGAUUAUUAAAUAAUGAAAAUAAUCGUUUAAAUAUUCCUUUAAACAAUCCUUUUAGGUCUACAUUUCCUUCACACUGACUUCUUGGUAUAUGUACAAGUAUUUUGGGUGGAAUAUACCAUUAAGCCCAAUGUUCAAGGGUUCUUCUGGGAAUAUACCA